CCCACGCGCUUUCCCAUAGUGCUUCGCGACAGUGGCUAUGGAUGCCGGCAGGACUGCAGUGCUCCGGGUAAAGCGGAAACACAGCGUGGACCCCGCUGACGCUCUGGUAUUGGCUUGUAAACGCCUCAGAAGCGGCGAGGUCGAGUCUGUUGCUCAGAAGAUACCAGAGCGUCUGGACAGAGCGGCAGAGAAUAAUGUCUUUCAGUUGGUGGCCACCGUGCGCUCCCAGGAGGAGCCAAUCCAGCCGCUCGUGCGGGCUGCCCUGCGCCCUUCCUGGAGCAGCCAGCAGCGUAUUCGCCACGAUCUCCGCGCCACAGCUAGGGAGGUCAGGAAAGAGGGCCGCUACCGAGUGGUCUCCAGCCGCCGAGCGUCAGGGACCUCCGGCAGCCUGGAGUCUGAGUACGCGCCAGGGACCUCAGAAGCUGCCGGGGACUCAGGCUUCCAGCUGUUGGACCUGGUACAUGAAGAGGGAGACCCAGAGGCCGCCUCCACGGACUCCAACAAAACAUCUGACCCAGAUGUGAUCCUCUGCAAUUCAGUAGAGUUGAUCCGUGAGCGGUUAACUAUAUCUGAGGAUGGACCAAGAGUUGGACACCAGGAGGAACAAAAGCAUGACGACUAUGUGUAUGACAUCUAUUAUUUGGAGUCAGCCACUCCAGGGUGGAUUGAAAACAUCCUCUCUGUGCAGCCUUAUACCCAGGAAUGGGAGCUGGUGAAUGAUGAUGAGCAACCAGAAGACACUUACGAAGAUGAAGAUGAUGAGAACAGUGAGAAUAAUUGGCGCAAUGAAUACCCAGAAGAGGAGAGCAGUGAUGGAGAGAAAGAUGCCAGAGGAAAUAAGACAAUACUGCACCAACUUCAGUGACUGGGAUUAAGUAAAACAUAUAGACUUUCGUCCUUUCCCUACUUCCAUCACGAAAUUAUUAGGCUCACCAGGAGGUUCUGAUGACUAUGACAGCCUCAGUGAGGAAGAAGGAGGCAGCAGGCGACAGGUUUGGUGCAAGUAUCCUUUGGAUAUACAGAAGGAGUUUGGCUAUGACAACCUCCAGGACCUGGAUUCAGACUGAUGCCCUUGUAAUGGCCAUGAGGUUUUUGUUUUGUUUUGUUUUUUCUUUGGUACUGGGGAUCAAACUCGGGUCCUUGCACUUGUACAGCAGGUGGCGAAACCACUGAGCUAAAUCCCCGGCCCGGCCAUGAGGUUUUAUCACAGGCCCAAGAGGGCUCUGUGCUUAGAGUUAACUGGCAUGGUGACAUCCUCUUAGGAUUCCUAGCUAAAGAGAUAGAAUGGAAAAGCAAACCCAACAGUACCAUCCCAGCACACUGAAAACUUAAGCUAAUGGAGUAAAUCCUUGCCACUCACAGUAGGGGCCCCUGGUCUCAAAUCAAAAGUGACUAUACAAUCUGGGGAAAAAAUUGUAAAAUGGCAAAUUCCUCUCACUUCCUCACCUAGGCAUUGUUCCUGGCAUUCUAGUUCUAUGCCAAAGCAAAAAGGGGCGGAGAGGCUUUGGUUUCAUUGCAGUAAGAUUCUGUUUCCCUUACCACCAACUGCCUGCUGCUAGAAUAAGCCCAUUCCUUUUGAUAAUGGGCACCUAGGAGGGCUUUGGUAGGUCCCUUGCAGCAGCAGUCUAGAUAGUAACAGCUUAUGUGGGAGGUGUUAACAGCUAUCUUGCCUCCUGGCCUCAUACUCUGAUAAUGGUUGUAAAGAUUCCUGUCUUCUUUUGGCAGUGGUGCCCAAAAAAUAGUAUGCAUGAAUGUGUUAACUCUGUUUAAUAAAACUACUUUUGAACAUGGAAACAGGCAAUUCCUUCAAAACUUUUUUUUUUUUUGGCUUCUUGAGACAGGGUCUCUCUAUGUAGUCAAAGCUGGCCUCCAGCUCAUGCUGAUCCUCCUGCCUCAGCCUCCCGAGUGCUGGGAAUAUAGACAUGCACCACCAACCAGCUCAAAAUCUUUAAAUCUGAGUAUCUUAGGUGUUUUUCUACUAUACUUUUACCCCACCAAAAAAAGGCAGAUGUUUCAGAAUUAACCUUAGUAAGGACUUGAGAGGAAAAAGAAAGCACAUCCUGAACAUGGCUUUCUAUUCAAAAAAUGUUUACUAUUCAUAUCACUCACCAAAAUUAAACUAUAAUCAUCCCUUGAGUGAUUGGUUCCAGGACCUCCUGUGAAUACCAACAUCCACAGAUUCUCAAGUCCAUUGUAUAAAAUGAUGUAUUUUCACAGAAUCCUUGCACGUCCUCUGCAUACUCCGUGAUCUCCAGAUUAUUUAUAAAACCUAAUACAAUAUAAAUGCUGUGUAACUGUUAUAUACAUAUUGUUUGGGGAAUAAUGGCAAGAAAAAAUAAACCUGUUCAUGUGUCAUACAGA